AGGGGUGAGGAGAGGGCCUGCUCCCAGCUGAGUCCCUUACCGACUCCCACCUGCAAGCUGUGUGUGGCACUUAUUGGAGGUUACAGAGGACAGGAGGAGGUGACCCCAAUAUGUAUUUGGGGCGGAUGGCAUUGCCGUGAUGUAGUCGUACUGGGCGGGAGAUGGGGGUGCGGGGCACCCGGAGCCUCGUGCACGACGGCCGGGGGUGUUCGGGGCCUCCAGACUCCCAGGGUGCCCUGCUGUGCAGCCACUGCCACCCGCCGUUGCUGCUGGAAGGAUUCUUUCCGCACACCCAGCAGCGGCCCGCUGAAGUAUCUGAAGGGCAGAAUGACCAGACUUUCCUUUUACUGACUUCUGAAAGAAACCUGAGCUUUGAUCUGUGCAGCAAUCACACACCUUUUCGGCAAAAUCACCGUCAGAGACGGGGAAGUCCCUACCAGCCAAGCUGCCCCUCUCUGUAUUUUGAUCAGGUUCUGAGGUGUGGACUUGAGGAAGUCAUAUUUCUGAAUCUUAGUUUGUUAUAUCUGCAAAAUAAUGAUGAUAAUGCUGACUACAUCGGGUUAGGGAGAGAAUGAAGUGACAUGGUCAAGUUCAA